GGCUUGGUAGAUUAGUGGAUCAGAGCUCAUGGUUCUAAACCAUGAAGUCAAGGGUUGAAAUCCCUUCUCGCCCA
rnacentral:tRNA from 1 species